rnacentral:rRNA from 1 species
GACGAACGCUGGCGGCGUGCCUAAUACAUGCAAGUCGAGCGGACGAAUCGAAAGCUUGCUUUUGAUUCGUUAGCGGCGGACGGGUGAGUAGCACGUGGGCAACCUGCCCUGUAGACGGGGAUAACACCGAGAAAUCGGUGCUAAUACCGGAUAACACGAAAUGUCGCAUGACGUUUCGUUGAAAGACGGCGCAAGCUGUCGCUACAGGAUGGGCCCGCGGCGCAUUAGCUAGUUGGUGAGGUAACGGCUCACCAAGGCGACGAUGCGUAGCCGACCUGAGAGGGUGAUCGGCCACACUGGGACUGAGACACGGCCCAGACCCCUACGGGAGGCAGCAGUAGGGAAUCUUCCGCAAUGGACGAAAGUCUGACGGAGCAACGCCGCGUGAGCGAAGAAGGCCUUCGGGUCGUAAAGCUCUGUUGUUAGGGAAGAACAAGUAACGCAGUAACUGGCGUUACCGUGACGGUACCUAACGAGAAAGCCACGGCUAACUACGUG